GAUGAAGAACGUAGCGAAAUGCGAUAAGUAAUGUGAAUUGCAGAAUUCCGUGAAUCAUCGAAUCUUUGAACGCACAUUGCGCCCCCUGGCAUUCCGGGGGGCAUGCCUGUCCGAGCGUCAUUUCUGCCCUCCAGCCCGGCUGGGUGUUGGGCGCUGUCCCCCCGGGGACACGCCCCAAAGGCAGUGGCGGCGCCGCGUCGGGUCCUCGAGCGUAUGGGGCUCUGUCACUCGCUCGGGAAGGACCUGCGGGGGUUGGUCACCACUAUAUUUUACCACGGUUGACCUCGGAUCAGGUAGGAGUUACCCGCUGAACUUAAGCAUAUCAAUAAGCGGAGGA
rnacentral:misc_RNA from 1 species